rfam:Danio rerio chromosome 8, GRCz11 reference primary assembly.
GUUUGUUUGUGACGGAUACAGAUUAAACUGAACAGUUUCUGUAACUUGAUGUUUCAAAC